GGAAUAUUGCACAAUGGGCGGAAGCCUGAUGCAGCAACGCCGCGUGAGCGACGAAGGCCUUCGGGUCGUAAAGCUCUGUCCUCAAGGAAGAUAAUGAUGGUACUUGAGGAGGAAGCCCCGGCUACCUACGUGCCAGCAGCCGCGGUAAUACGUAGGGGGCUAGCGUUAUCCGGAAUUACUGGGCGUAAAGGGUGCGUAGGUGGUUUCUUAAGUCAGAGGUGAAAGGCUACGGCUCAACCGUAGUAAGCCUUUGAAACUGGGAAACUUGAGUGCAGGAGAGGAGAAUGGAAUUCCUAGUGUAGCGGUGAAAUGCGUAGAGAUUAGGAAGAACACCAGUGGCGAAGGCGAUUCUCUGGACUGUAACUGACGCUGAGGCUCGAAAGCGUGGGGAGCA
rnacentral:rRNA from 1 species